AAGAAUCAAUUUCUCAAGAUUUGGCACUCCUGUGAAGUCUAGGGUCUCAGUCAGGUAUUGGGAAUGACUAAGAUCUAUAAUUUGCAACUUGUUGAGGUGCAGGAUUCCUUUCCAGAGAUGUUUGGUGGAGCUCUGAGGCAUUUCAAUCACAAAGAUAUUCUUUGGAUUAAAGUUUGACAGCCAAUAUUUCAGCGGGUACCCUUCCCAAAUGAGACAUUUUAGUUUGUAAUAUAAACAUUUGAAGUUCCCAGAAAGGUGCACCUUGCUGUCUCCACAGGCACCAUGGACAUCAAUCAAUCUUAGAUUUAUCAUCUUCAUGAAUGCCUCAGCUCUGAAAUGCCUCUCAUCUGUUUUAGACAAGUCUAUGACCAUGCAUUCAACACGUUUUGUCCCCAACGCUUGCAUCAACACAUGGACAACAUCCUCAUGGUCCCACAGCCGGCUACGUUUGCCAGGAUCAUUAGGGGAUUGACAGCGCACAAUCUCCCGACCCAGGUGCUGUAGUAAAUCAUGCAUUGACAAUGUGUUGUCCAAUACAGUUAAUAGACAAUGACUAAUAAGGUCUUUUAUUCCACUUUCAGGAUGGAAGCCAAAGCUUUUUAGAAUUUUUGCUACAUAAUCUAAGUCAAGCCCUUCGAAAUAACAUGCAACAUCAAGAAAUGUUGACUUGUUUAAGUGAUCAAGUGCAUAAAAGCUUCUUCUAAGAGUUUGCUAAAUAUCCAUGAUAGAAUGAUUCUCCUCCAGUGUAUUUAAGUAUGCAUCCCAUUCUCUUUCAUUCCUACCAUGUAGUGAAGAACCCAAAUUUUUAAGUGCUGAUGGUAGCCCUUUGCAAUAAUCAA
rnacentral:misc_RNA from 1 species